rnacentral:lncRNA from 1 species
AAAAGAGCGUGAGUUUGGUGUUCCCACUGAGGUUGUGAAGAGAAAGCAGGGGAAAGAGCGGGCAGAGCUGGCUGGAAGGAACUGACCUCACUACUGGAUCAAGUAUCAGCAAGACGUGAAGCAGAAAAGACAAACACUGAGGCAUUCAUGUGACACAGUGGACAGGUUGGACCAGCAGUGCCAUAAAAUUGCCCAAUAUGCCUACAGCGCUGAGUCCUACUGAGUCCUUGCUGAUCGAUGAAAUAAGACAUGACAUUGUGAA